rnacentral:tRNA from 1 species
UGCAUCGGCCAGGAAUCGAAGCUGGGCCGCCCGCGUGGCAGGCGAGCAUUCUACCACUGAACCACCGAUUC